AGUAUUGCGCAAUGGAGGGACCUCUGACGCAGCGACGCCGCGUGAGCGAGGAAGGUCUUCGGAUCGUAAAGCUCUGUCCUUGGGGAAGAAGGGAGCCGUAAGGCUUCUUUACGGUACUCAUGGAGCAAGCCCCUGCUAACUACCUGCCAGCAGCCGCGGUAAUACGUAGGGGGCAAGCGUUGUCCGGAAUUAAUUGGCGUAAAGGGUGCGUAGGCGGGCCUUUAAGUUAGGUGUGGAAUAACAAUUCUUAACACUGGAAUUGCAUUUGGAACUGAGUAGCUUGAGUGGAGGAGAGGAAAGUAGAAUUCCUAGUGUAGCGGUGAAAUGCGUAGAGAUUAGGAGGAACACCAGUGGCGAAGGCGACUUUCUGGACUGUAACUGACGCUGAGGUACGAAAGCGUGGGUAGCGAACA
rnacentral:rRNA from 1 species